AUUAAAAACCGUGUAUCCAAAAUCGCUAUGUACACACAUAUCUAUAUCACCAUAUUUCUUAUAUGUACUUAAAAAAACUGCAAGUGAUUCACUCAUUGGGAGCACCAACUAUACGAAGAACCGGAAGUGAUCCAGCCAAGGACAGUUAUUUCGCAUAUUUAUGACUUGAUUUUCGGAGAACACCUUUACUUAGCUACCCAUUUCUAUAACUCUCAUGUUGAUGAAGGUCAUUUCCACAAAACUUUUUGCUUCAUCCCAGUUGUCAAAAUAACGGAUAUUUUUUCUAAGUUUCCGGCGGAAGUAGCAGAAGAGAGUAUGUAUGUAUAUGUUGCCUACAUAUAAAGUAAUCGGCCGACCGGUCACAUAUUAUGCAGAAUUUACAAACGGAUUUCCUAAAUAUAUUUGAAUCCAGAUAAAUAAGCUUCGAAUUUCUCCUGAAGAACACAUACACGAAGAAGCUUUCCUGUUUCCAGGUCCUGCUUUUCUUUACUAAUUAAGCUUCGGACGCAACCACAAACACUAAGAGCCAUUCACAGAGGACUAAUAAAAACCUUUUUAUACCCUCUACCAGUGAGCGGCUUUCUUGGAAUCAAAAUAUAAUCCACCGCAGAAGACGUACCAGAUGUCUCGUUACACUAAAGUGGCUUCGCGUGUUAUAACGCAUUAAACUCUUACUAAUUCAUAAUAGACCCUGACAAAUGUACAUACCUAACAUAUUCUGCAUGCUUAAUGCCGAAUGAAUGCGAUGAUACUAACCACUUCUUUUCAUGACCUCAAGCCUACUCACAUUACUUUCAUUUUUCUAUUUCCAUUACCUUUUUUUGUGGCUUCCAUUAAAUGAUUUCGAAGAUAAUUAAUUUGUACUCCCUACAAAUAGCAUUACGUUACAACUAUAACGGUUCAAAUGUCGUCUAAACAAAUGAAGUCCAUAGGGGAAGAAACUCUACUGGCCCUUCUUCCAAGGGACG